rnacentral:tmRNA from 1 species
GGGGUUGACUGGAUUUGACAGCGGGUUGAGAUGGUACGUAAGCACGCGGAGUGAAGACUGUAUACUCCUAAAACCUACCGGUCAAAAAAUUAAUUGGCAACAACAAGUAUGCUCUCGCUGCUUGAUCGAAGUACAGUAGAUCACUUGCUUAAUUCCGUCACCAGGUGAUGGAACGAGACGUCGCUCAGGACAGUGUGGACCCGAACGGUUCUGGUGUAGCGGCGCAGUCUUCUCGGGAAUAGCCGGCGGAACGCCCCGUGCUGACGGUGAAAAUUUAGGGGAUAAGGUUGCGGUUGGUGGUCCAGGUCUUGCCGUAGCACGAAAACCAAAGUCUGGAAUAAGCGUGUAGAAAGCGUAUGGUUUCCUCGUUUGGACGCGGGUUCGACUCCCGCCAGCUCCAC